GCAGACACAUUAAAGCCAAUCAGCAGCAGACCCUCCCUCCCAGACCCUUCCACCUACUGGACAGCAUCCAUUUUACAUUCAUUGUGAAGCUGCAUUCUUAGUGAGCUGUCCAGGAAGUGGGAGGGUCUGGGAGGGAGGGUCUGCUGCUGAUUGGCUGGAAUGUGUCU
rnacentral:miRNA from 1 species